GGGGGCCCGCACAAGCGGUGGAGUAUGUGGUUUAAUUCGAUGCAACGCGAAGAACCUUACCUGGUCUUGACAUCCCGGAGACCCUUAGGAAACUAGGGGUGCGUUCCAUCUGGAAGAAUCUGGAGACAGGUGCUGCAUGGCUGUCGUCAGCUCGUGUCGUGAGAUGUUGGGUUAAGUCCCGCAACGAGCGCAACCCUUGCCUUUAGUUGCCAGCAGUUCGGCUGGGCACUCUAAAGGGACUGCCGGUGUUAAACCGGAGGAAGGUGGGGAUGACGUCAAGUCCUCAUGGCCUUUAUGACCAGGGCUACACACGUACUACAAUGGCCGAUACAAAGGGCAGCGACACUGCGAGGUGAAGCCAAUCCCGUAAAAUCGGUCUCAGUCCGGAUUGGAGUCUGCAACUCGACUCCAUGAAGUUGGAAUCGCUAGUAAUCGUGGAUCAGCAUGCCACGGUGAAUACGUUCCCGGGCCUU
rnacentral:rRNA from 1 species